AGGACGAACGCUGGCGGCGUGCUUAAUACAUGCAAGUCGAACGAGGUUCACUUCGGUGGACCUAGUGGCGAACGGGUGAGUAACACGUGAGCAACCUGCCCCGAAGACCGGGAUAACAGUGGGAAACCGCUGCUAAUACCGGAUACCCCCACCGGAUUACAUGGUCUGGUGAGGAAAUGGAUUCCGCUUCGGGAGGGCUCGCGGCCUAUCAGCUUGUUGGUGGGGUAACGGCCUACCAAGGCUUCGACGGGUAGCUGGUCUGAGAGGAUGAUCAGCCACAUUGGGACUGAGACACGGCCCAAACUCCUACGGGAGGCAGCAGUGGGGAAUAUUGGACAAUGGGCGCAAGCCUGAUCCAGCCAUGCCGCGUGAGUGAUGAAGGCCUUAGGGUUGUAAAGCUCUUUCGCCCACGACGAUAAUGACGGUAGUGGGAGAAGAGCCCGGCUAACUUCGUGCCAGCAGCCGC
rnacentral:rRNA from 1 species